rnacentral:rRNA from 1 species
UACGUAGGGUGCGAGCGUUGUCCGGAAUUAUUGGGCGUAAAGAGCUCGUAGGCGGUGUGUCACGUCGAUCGUGAAAACUUACAGCUUAACUGUGAGCGUGCGGUCGAUACGGGCAUCACUGGAGUUCGGCAGGGGAGACUGGAAUUCCUGGUGUAGCGGUGAAAUGCGCAGAUAUCAGGAGGAACACCGGUGGCGAAGGCGGGUCUCUGGGCCGAUACUGACGCUGAGGAGCGAAAGCUAGGGGAGCAAACAGG